rnacentral:rRNA from 1 species
GACGAACGCUGGCGGCGUGCCUAAUACAUGCAAGUUGAGCGCUGAAGGUUGGUACUUGUACCGACUGGAUGAGCAGCGAACGGGUGAGUAACGCGUGGGGAAUCUGCCUUUGAGCGGGGGACAACAUUUGGAAACGAAUGCUAAUACCGCAUAAAAACUUUAAACACAAGUUUUAAGUUUGAAAGAUGCAAUUGCAUCACUCAAAGAUGAUCCCGCGUUGUAUUAGCUAGUUGGUGAGGUAAAGGCUCACCAAGGCGAUGAUACAUAGCCGACCUGAGAGGGUGAUCGGCCACAUUGGGACUGAGACACGGCCCAAACUACUACGGGAGGAAGCAGUAGGGAAUCUUCGGCAAUGGACGAAAGUCUGACCGAGCAACGCCGCGUGAGUGAAGAAGGUUUUCGGAUCGUAAAACUCGGUUGGUAGAGAAGAACGUUGGUGAGAGUGGAAAGCUCAUAAAGUGACGGUAACUACCCAGAAAGGGACGGCUAACUACGUG